UCCUUGGCCGGGGAGCUCGGACCCUGGAAGGCGGUUCGACUGGGCUGCCGAACGACGGACAACUGGCUGGGCAGGGGGUUCCCCGCAGUGCUCAGCAGGGGCGCCCCACCCACAAUGCACCGGAGGCAGCUUGGGCCGCGAGGGCGUGGAGCGGGGAAUUCAUUGCCUCUGUGCUCGUCUUAGACUAGUGUUGCGGGUCCGACCCUCUUCUGAGGAGAGUCUUGAGGAUUCUUGCCUCUGGCUCCUGUUCUGAGGAGAAUCUUCGGAGAUCUUGCUUCCUGGCCCCUCUGCUGAAGAGAAUCGUGGAAGUUCCUGCCCUGCACGCUUAGGAGAAUUGCCAAAAUAAAGCUGAUUUUGCAGAUUCGGAA